rnacentral:rRNA from 1 species
ACGAACGCUGGCGGCGUGCUUAACCCCUGCAAGUCGAACGGAAAGGCCCUGCUUUUGUGGGGUGCUCGAGUGGCGAACGGGUGAGUAACACGUGAGUAACCUGCCCUUGACUUUGGGAUAACUUCAGGAAACUGGGGCUAAUACCGGAUAGGAGCUCCUGCUGCAUGGUGGGGGUUGGAAAGUUUCGGCGGUUGGGGAUGGACUCGCGGCUUAUCAGCUUGUUGGUGGGGUAGUGGCUUACCAAGGCUUUGACGGGUAGCCGGCCUGAGAGGGUGACCGGCCACAUUGGGACUGGGAUACGGCACAGACUACAACGGGAGGCAGCAGUGGGGAAGAUUGCACAAUGGGCGGAAGCAUGAUGCAGCAACGCAGCGUGCGGGAUGACGGCCUUCGGGUUGUAAACCGCUGUCGCCUGUGACGAAGCGUGAGUGACGGUAAUGGGUAAAGAAGCACCGGCUAACUACGUG